GAUGAACGCUGGCGGCGUGCCUAAUACAUGCAAGUCGAGCGAACAGACGAGAGUGCUUGCACUCUCUGACGUUAGCGGCGGACGGGUGAGUAACACGUGGGUAACCUACCUAUAAGACUGGGAUAACUUCGGGAAACCGGAGCUAAUACCGGAUAAUAUUUAGCUUCGCAUGAAGCAAUAGUGAAAGACGGUUCUGCUGUCACUUAUAGAUGGACCCGCGGUGUAUUAGCUAGUUGGUGAGGUAACGGCUCACCAAGGCAACGAUACAUAGCCGACCUGAGAGGGUGAGCGGCCACACUGAGACUGAGACACGGCCCAGACUCCUACGAGAGGCAGCAGUAGGGAAUCUUACGCAAUGGACGAAAGUCUGACGGAGCAAUGCCGCGUGAGUGAAGAAGGUUUUCGGAUCGUAAAACUCUGUUGUAAGGGAAGAACAAGUACGUUAGUAACUGAACGUACCUUGACGGUACCUUACCAGAAAGCCACGGCUAACUACGUG
rnacentral:rRNA from 1 species